ensembl:lncRNA
AUUGGGCAGGCAAUGCCUUUUUCAGCAAAAUCUCUACAGCCGCGAUCUCAUGACAGAGUGGUUGCCCUGUGAACGACGUGCAAACGCCUAAAGCAGAAGAGGGGCUGGAGUCCAGCAGAGUGAGCGAGCAGGCGCAAACAGCAGGACCUGGCAUGAGCAGCAAGGAGAGCAGUCACCAGUAAUGAUGCAUGGAAAAGGGGAUGGGACCUCACUGAAUGCAACACCCCAUCUCCAAAUCACCAUCGGGAGCGGUUAACUUGAUCCUGGUCACAACAGCUGGAUGCGUCAGGAAAUCCUGGGUGUCAAGAAAUGAAGUCCUUUCUUUUGACGAGAUCACGGGGGACUGGCCAGCAGCCAGGCGCAAGGCGCUCUGCAGCUCGCCCGCGCCGCCUUACUCGGCCCCAUGCUUCCCCCAGGGCGCUUCUCUCGCGUGUAUUUCUGGGCGCCACAAAAAGAGGGUUAGAUUUUUCUUCUGCAUGAUAUUUUAGUCUGCACUACACUCCGGAAGAGCCAGUAACUUCUCCGUAAGACCUGUCGCAGUCUCUGUGUAUAAAACCCCCUUUGUUGGGGGGUGUGUGUGUGUGUGUGUGUGUGUGGUUUGACUGAGCCGCAUGAUCAGAGUCAGGUGACAACAUUGGGCACAAGAACGGAGCAGAAUAAGCAGUGAGACCUCGGAGAUUAGCUGCCGAUCUUGCCUUCUGAGAAGCUGUGCUGCUCCUCGGGGAACGAUGCGUGCCUGGCCCUCUCCUCUGCUUUGGAGCUUAACCGCGGCAUGGCUGACACUGAUGUUUGGAUGCUGCCGGUGAUGUGGACUCCCUGAUUUCUGUAUUACUCUUGGUCAAAUGUGGCAGAGGAGGCUUUCUGGACUCCAAGCAAGGAAACAUGAGUUAAACAGUUGGUAUUGCUUUAGGCCAGACAACCACUACGCAGGUCCCUAUUGCCCCAACACCAGUGCCUCCCAGUGCAACGGCCACCCAGGUCCCUAUUGCCCCAACACCAGUGCCUCCCAGUGCAACGGCCACCCAGGUCCCUAUUGCCCCAACACCAGUGCCUCCCAACACAGCUGCUGCCUCAGCCUCCGCACCCCCAGUUCCUGCUGCGACACUCUCGGCUGGAGUGGUGUCCACCACGCCAAACCUUGCCGCAUCCACGGGAGCGCCGUCUACUGACCCAAGCGUGGGAACAUCAGCUCCAGUUUUGUCCACCACCCCAGAGGCAACAGCGCUCACUUCUGGAAGCGCGACCACCUCUCGCAAGCCCAGCGCAGCGCCCACCAGUGCCCCGUCCUCCCCUCUGGCUGUGACGGUGUCUCCCAGCGUCCCAUCGGCAGCUCCGUUCCUCACCACCUCAGAGCCCUCGGGCUGCGGCAGGGUGAACGUGACAGCGUGUGAACACUGUUCCCCAGGGACGUUUCCCAACGAUGGCACCCUGAGCUGCUUGUGCUGCUCGCGGGGCUCCUGCGCGGGCCCUGCUGACUGCGUCCCCUGCCCGGUGGGUCACUACCAGCCCCUGAGCGGCCAACAGUCGUGUCUGCCCUGUCCGCAGGGGUAUUACGCCAGUUUUCGGAAGAGCACCGCAUGCUCUCCCUGUCCGCCUGGCUCUUACACUAACGAGUCUGGGGCUGCAGCUUGCAGAGCCUGCCAGCAAGGGUAUUUCAGCUCACAGCAAAAUGCAGCUUUUUGCCUGCCUUGCCUGCCUGGAUCAUUUUGCAACACCACCGGCUGCACCACGUGUCUGGCUUGCCCUGGUGGGACGGAGGCUCUUCGCAAGGCAUCCGAGGAGUGCACACCUUGCCUCCCAGGUAUGUUCAAAGGUCCUGAAGACAACAGAUGCAAGCUCUGCAAGGUGGGAGAAUACCAAUUACAGCAGGGCAAGGAGAGCUGUGACCUGUGCCCAGAACAUUACUACUGUCCUAGCCCAGAUGAGAACCCGGUCAAGUGCCCUGCUGAUGCCUUCUGCCCUGCCGGCAGCACUGAGCCCGAGUAUUGCAUGGAGGUGUUUCUUUACAAGGCAGGAGACUCUUGCCAGUUGGCCCCUCUGAUGAUCAUCCUCCUGGCCCUUUUCACAGCAGGGGGAAUCCUUGCUGUCUUUCUGAUAAUUCUGAAGAGAAGGCAAGAAUAUAGGAAGAAAUCUUUGAAGUCUCUACUGUUACCAAAAGGAUCAGGACAACACACAACGUAUGGUGUGAUGGAGCACACAGAACCAGUAUACACUGGUUGGUAG